AGCAGCCGCGGUAAUUCCAGCUCCAAUAGCGUAUAUUAAAGUUGUUGCAGUUAAAAAGCUCGUAGUUGAAUUUCGGGAUCAAUUUAUCGGUCGUGCCUAUGGUAUGAACUGGUACAAUUGGUUUCUCCCUUCUGACGAAGCAUGAUGUCAUUAAUUUGGUGUCGUGGGGAAUCAGGACUGUUACUUUGAAAAAAUUAAAGUGUUUAAAGCAAGCAUUAGCUUGAAUACAUUAGCAUGGAAUAAUGAAAUAGGACGUUUGAUCCUAUUUCGUUGGUUUCUAGGAUCGACGUAAUGAUUAAUAGGGAUAGUUGGGGGCAUUAGUAUUCAAUUGUCAGAGGUGAAAUUCUUGGAUUUAUUGAAGACUAACUACUGCGAAAGCAUUUGCCAAGGAUGUUUUCAUUAAUCAAGAACGAAAGUUAGGGGAUCGAAGACGAUCAGAUACCGUCGUAGUCUUAACCAUAAACUAUGCCGACUAGGGAUCGGAUGAUGUUAAUUUUUUAAUGACUCA
rnacentral:rRNA from 1 species